CGGACCUGCUUGGUGUGCUUCAAAUUCAGAUAGCAGCGAAGAAAAGGCUGAUGGGGGUAUCGCAGAAAACGGAGAGCCCUUGGGGCUGUAGCCUAAGCGUCUCCUCUCCCCUCCUCAAGCCGAGGACAAUGUAGGGACUACAAGGGGACGCCGGGACGGACGUGUGGGAAUUCAGCAUUCCUCCUGCCCCCUUCCCCCAGUCUCGCCCACAGCUGCUUGCACUGGGGAAGUCCCCUAGCCUUGAUCGGACCUGUCCUAGAAGCCUCAACUACAGAACCUAGAAAGGUCUGUGCUGCCUGGGGAAAGGACAGCAAGAGCCAGCUGGGCCCCACCACGACCUGACCGGCUCCUCAGCCAAGCUAGAGGCCUGGGCCAGGUGGAGGACAGUGACUGGUAGCCUGUCCCUAGCCUUCAUGGUACACCCAGGCCCAGAGCCUGGGGCACAUAAACUUCCCAGAACACAUGUCAGGUCCCUGGCACAAGGACCC
ensembl:antisense Gm13523 predicted gene 13523